AAGUAAGAUCCCUCAGAGACGAUGAGGUUGAUAGGUCCGAGGUGUAAGCGUGGUGACACGUGAAGCUGACGGAUACUAAUCGAUCGAGGACUUAACUU
rnacentral:rRNA from 1 species